GGCAUGCACAAUAUUCAUCAUUAACCUUAAUCACUAACCUCAUCUGGCAUUAUAUUGAAUAAAAUUGACCAUUUAAUUACUCUGCACACAAGUGCAUCAGUUUUCUAGUCCAUAAGUAAAUGUAGUUUGUCUGAUCAUUUCAGUGAGUGUAAUGGAGGAAAGAAAGAUCCCUCUAAAAUGUUAAUCCUCCACAGGGAACCUUUCUGCAUCUGUACCGCUGUCACUACCUGGCGUGAAGAAGUCCUGGCAUGAGAACAUCACUCAGGACCUGAGGAAUCAUCUAGUGCACAAGCUGGUUCAAGCCAUAUUCCCCAACCCAGACCCUGCAGCACUGCAGGACAGACGCUUGGGGAACUUGGUUGCUUACGCAUGUAGAGUUGAAGGGGACUUCUAUGAGUCUGCCAACAGCAGGGAUGAAUAUUACCACUUACUGGCCGAGAAGGUCUAUAAGAUCCAAAAGGAACUAGAAGAGAUGAGAAAGUCCAAACUUUCAAAGCCACUCACAAACACUCAGGAUCCUUAACAGUCUGAUUUCAUCAGUCCAAAUCUAUAGGACCUGAACAAACCAUCGGCCAACAAGUUAUUUUAUUGGACCAGAUAUUAAGUUGUUUUUGGACUAGAUCAGUCAUGUGUCACCCAGAAUGUAGAAGGACUGAGGGAUCUCAUUGGAGUUUAUAAUAACAGUCAGUAUGUGCAGUUUCAUGAGCAUGAACAUACAUCUGUUAUUCUUGAUUUGUUAUGUCCAUGUUUAUUUCAUAGUUUUUCUCAUGUAUAUACAGUAAUAUUUACUCUAUUCUGUGUAUUACUUAUUACUUACCAUUUCUGAUUGUUCUUUGCUCUUUGUAUUCUGUUGUUGAAUGUUAUGUUGUAUGUUGUAUCUAUUCUCAAGUUAGAGGAAUAAGUGAAUGUCUCCACCUAAAGGUUUUCAGCGUCACCAGAUGAUGUUGUGAAGCAGUAAUUCGCUGUGGUCUUUGCAUGAUAUAUCAACACUUUGUGCUGAGUUUGUGCUGCUUUGUGCAACUGACAUUAUUGAAUAAACUUAUUUCAAUCAUGA